rnacentral:rRNA from 1 species
CGAACGCUGGCGGCAUGCCUAACACAUGCAAGUCGAACGAACCCUUCGGGGUUAGUGGCGCACGGGUGCGUAACGCGUGGGAAUCUGCCCUUUACUUCGGAAUAACUCAGGGAAACUUGUGCUAAUACCGGAUGAUGUCUUCGGACCAAAGAUUUAUCGGCAAGGGAUGAGCCCGCGUAGGAUUAGGUAGUUGGUGGGGUAAAGGCCUACCAAGCCGACGAUCCUUAGCUGGUCUGAGAGGAUGAUCAGCCACACUGGGACUGAGACACGGCCCAGACUCCUACGGGAGGCAGCAGUGGGGAAUAUUGGACAAUGGGCGCAAGCCUGAUCCAGCAAUGCCGCGUGAGUGAUGAAGGCCCUCGGGUCGUAAAGCUCUUUUACCAGGGAUGAUAAUGACAGUACCUGGAGAAUAAGCUCCGGCUAACUCCGUG